rnacentral:rRNA from 1 species
AUACGUAGGGGGCGAGCGUUGUCCGGAAUGAUUGGGCGUAAAGGGCGUGUAGGCGGCGGUGUAAGUCUGGAGUGAAAGUCCCGCAUUCAAUGUGGGAAUUGCUUUGGAUACUGCAGUGCUAGAGUGCGGAAGAGGUAAGUGGAAUUCCCAGUGUAGCGGUGAAAUGCGUAGAGAUUGGGAGGAACACCAGUGGCGAAGGCGACUUACUGGGCCGUAACUGACGCUGAGGCGCGAAAGCGUGGGGAGCGAACAGGAUUAGAUACCCUGGUAGUCCACGCGGUAAACGAUGAAUGCUAGGUGUUGCGGGUAUCGACCCCUGCAGUACCGGAGUACACACAAUAAGCAUUCCGCCUGGGGAGUACGGCCGCAAGGUUGAAACUCAAAUGAAUUGACGGGG